rnacentral:rRNA from 1 species
UACGUAGGGAGCAAGCGUUGUUCGGAAUCAUUGGGCGUAAAGCGCGCGUAGGCGGCCCUGUAAGUCCGCUGUGAAAGUCAAAGGCUCAACCUUUGAAAGCCGGUGGAUACUGCAGGGCUAGAGUCCGGAAGAGGCGAGUGGAAUUCCUGGUGUAGCGGUGAAAUGCGCAGAUAUCAGGAGGAACACCAAUUGCGAAGGCAGCUCGCUGGGACGUUACUGACGCUGAGACGCGAAAGCGUGGGGAGCAAACAGG